AGAAGAAAAAAAAAAGAUAAAGAAAACACCAAAAUUGCUUAACUCCUUCUACGCCAAGAAUUCAUCAUCCGGAGAAAAAUUAAGCUUUGCCCAAAGCUAAUAUCAUCUUUCAUCACUACUCUCUCUUGAUUAAGGUAAUAUUUGAUCUCGGAGUUACAAUGAAGAUCACAUCGAAAAACUAACAUUGAACAAAAAUCGCGGUCGUGAACAACAGUAAGGACUGAGGCAGACGUGGGACCCGGUGACAGCUCAAUUUCCAGAUCAUGUAUAAUUAUCUUUAUCGUAUUUCUCUCUCGAAAAUAAAGAGUGGUAGACCUUGGACUUUUGUAUUAUAGUUUUCGUAUCACUCAUAUUAUAUACUGGUAUCUUGCGUACGUAUGUAAACGUACUUAUGUAUUUGAUCA